rnacentral:lncRNA from 1 species
GCAUCGAGCCCUUGCGCACGACGGAGGGCGGCCCAUGGUCUGUGGGUCGGAUGUCUGGCGGUCACACCCGCCGGGAAGAUCUUCUGGCGGAAACAGAAUCUGCUCCUUUCGGGAAAGGCUGAUUGCGCGGUUACGUGCAGCGUGUGUUGAGGAGUGGCUCUGGAAACUUAAAGAGCCCGACGAUCAAGUGAUCUUGCCAACUACCGUUUUAAUCAGCAUGUUUUAUUUUGUUGUGGUACAGGCUCAGAGCCCAAUGCAAGCCCUGGCAGAUGUCUUCAACACCAGAGUGACACUCAGCCUGAAGGCCAGGAUUGAAGACUGGAAGUACAGGGGCAAGAAAUACCUUUGAAAAUACUCCAGUGUCCAAACUGCUCACUGGUGUUGCUGCCUUUUGAGCCAGGGCACGAGGCUUUGUUGAGGUCACUACUUUUCAUUCCCUCCAAGAUGGACAAGAUGUUUGUUUUGUGCACAGAAUGGAGCAGUGUCUUGAACGUGCUACACAAGCCCCCUAACAGCCAAGCGAAUCCAGCAGCUCUACAGACAUCCUUUCACUGAGCAGUUAUUUCUCCUCCGAUGUUCUGAUCGCUGUGGGCAGCCUCCAAACACUUUUUGAAAAAGCUGGAGAGAAAGGCGAGCUUGAAAAGGGGAAUGCAGGAUAGAGGCAAAGGGAGAGAAGCAGGCAAGCGACUCCACAAUGAUACUCAUUCCUUUAUUGUCAACUGUGUUCAUCUCAACAGGGCUGGGGCCUGCAGGCUGCUGGCAGCACCAAGUUAAGGUGCAUUUCCACUCAACAGAAAGGCCUCCAUCCUAAACCAAGGGGGCAGAGGUUAAUGCUUUAUAUAUAUUUAUAUAUUUAUAUAUUACAUAUGUCCUAGAUAUACAUAUGUCCCAUAUGUAUAGAGUGACAAGAAUGGGCCACUUUGUGUAACUUUAAUUAAAGGCCAUAGCAACAGACAUAGAAAUUUGAUCCUAAUUAAGGCCCGUACUUUGUCAAUCAAAUGUGUGAUACAGUAAAAGAAAAAGGAGAGAGACAGAGACUGAGAUCCAGCCACCUCCAGGAGUCCUGUCUCCAGGGUAUCUUACAUUGAGUGUAGUGCCCCCUGUACAGGUGAACAUAAACACACACAUAAACACACACAUAUAAUACCACAGGCAGGAGCACCUCUUCUGACCACACCUUGGGCCCAGCCUUUGGCUGCGGUGCUGAAGUGGGGUGUAUUGUGCUAUAAGACUGUGAGGGUAGUGGACCAGACAAUGUGGAGUCAGUGUGUCCAAGUGAUGAAUGGGGUGACUCAUGCAGCUUCAUCUACAAAUGACAGAGAGCUCAGGGGGAGGUCCCUCAAUGCCCAGUUCACAUCAGGAGAUUUCUACACACAGCUCCUGUUCCAGAGAAAGCCAUUCCUCUGAUUUGAAUCCUGAGUGUCAAUCACAGGGUUCUGACAGAAACCUGGGAUCCCUUUGAAGGGCAGGCAGCCGCAAGGCUCCGCCAUUCAGUCCAGUGGAGCAGCAGAGAGCACAACAGUGGAGUCAAAGCAAAUGAUGCGCAGACAGGACCCUGAAUGGUGCAAGAGGGGCUCAUUUCCCAAAAGGUCGAGAAGGACUGCUGCCCUUUGCCACACAGAACUUCUGGCAGAUCUGUCAGCUUCAUGUCUUACAUAAGUAACAGACCUGCUCCUAAGCCAGGGAAGGAGACGCCCAACAUUAGGGCACUGGAAAUCCUAACUCCCUGUUUUCUCUCCCCGAAUUUACCCACUACCACCCACCAAAAUAUGCAUAUUGAAAAUAAGUCAACAUAUUUGGCAGUAUGAUUUUUAGUACUAAGAGAAUUUCUUAAUUUUUCAACCUAAUUUUACACUCAAUAAAUAAUAAUUAAGUAGUGAAUUGUUAAGUGCUGACAGCAGAAAUUACAAUUCCUUAUACAACAAACUGUGUGCUUAGCAGCAGCUUCUGCAUAGCUCCAGGACUUGGAAAAGAUUCAACACUGGGCUCGGCAUGGUGCUACACACCUGUAAUCUGCACUCUAGAGGCAGAGGCAGGAAAGUAGCUGUAAGCUUCAUCCGUGCUGGUCUACAUAGUGUGUUCCAGGCCAGCCAGGGCUACACACAGAGAGACCCUGUCUCAGAAUAAAACAAAGCAACACAAAACAGAAAUAGAGAGCUAUCGAUCUCUUUUUCCUUGGAGGCAUAUCAGAACCACAGUUAGGGAAGGGAUCCAAGUUGGUUGGAGAACAGCUAGGACUGGGUGGUUUUAAUGUAAACUUUUAAAUUUAUUAUUUAUUUUCUCUUGUUUGCUAUGGAGUCAAGGGAGACUUUGAACUCCUGAUCCAUCUGCCUCUGUCUCCCAGGUGCUGGGAUUAAAGGUGUGCACCACCGAACUCAGUUCAAACCCAACUGUAAGAAACUUCCUUCAUCUUUAGUUAUAUGUAUGUCUGUAUCUGUAGGAGGGUACGUUCACGUGUGCACAGGUCAAUGCAAAGGCCAUAGGAGAGUUCCAGAUCCCCUGGAGACGCCUGGUGUGGAUGCUGGAAACCCACCUUGGGUCCCUCUGGAACAGCAGCAAGUACUAUUAACCACUGAACCUUCUCUCCAGCUUUGAAAAAAAUUUUAAACAAGGUUUCAGUUUAUAGAAUGGGCUAUCAUCACUGGCAAUUCUUCUACCUCAACCUGAGUGACUCCAAACAAUUUUUGUGGAAUUGUAUAUGUACAUAUACAUAAAAACAUUUUUAAAAAAGAGACUGGGCAUCAUAGCUCACAUCUAUAACCCCAGCACCUGGGAAGCUGAGGCAGGAAUACCUCAAUUUUGAGGCAAGGUGGGCCACAGAGUAAGUGAAUACUAGUAGCAAGCCAGGACCACACAUUAAAAAAAAGAAAAAGAAGAGGAAGCAGCCAGACGUGGCUCAGCAGUUAAGAGCACAUAUUGCUCCUCCAGAAGACCUGAGUUCAAGUCCCAGCACUCACGUCAGGUGACUCACAACCACCUGUAACAACAGCUCCAGGGGGUCCAUGCCUCUGGCCUUUGCAUUCAUGUAUGUAGACACACAUGGUUUAAAAAUAAUAAAAAUAAAUCUUAAAAAAAUAUGUUUUAUCUUGCAUGUAAAAAAUAAAGGUCAAUGAAAAUUAACUUUUUAAAAUAGAAAUUUACUUAUCACUUGCAAUACCUGGAGACAUUUGGGGUGGUCACAAAGGAAGGUGAGGAAGGACCAAGCCACACAAGUGGUAAAGAAUGGAUUGAUUUUUCAACAAAAUAGUGCCCCCUCCCCCAAGAUGUAACUAAGAAGUAAGAGUAAAAGGUAAAUCUGGC